GACAGAUCAGGAAAAUGCAUGUACAAUUAUAUUCUAUUCUUUUUGAAUCCUCUAUUAUUUCUUGAAAGUUCAUAUAGAUGGCCGCACGGACAUUUGUUUCGUAAUGCAUUGUGAAAAUUAGUAAUUUUUUCUUCUCAAUCCCAGGUUCAGUUUACAACAAUAUGAUUACUCGAUAUUCUACCCAGUCUCAGCUUAUGAAUUCCAGUUCCCGCAGCCAGUUUGAUACCACCUCUUUUACUCAGCCUGACCAGCAGGUUAACUUAUCAUAUGAUGAUAGGAUUGGGGUUGCUCUUGGUCCACCUCUGUCACCAUCAUUCCAAGCGGGAAUCUCUUCUAUUCAGCAAGCGAAUCUUAUUCCUUCUGAGGACUGGUCCCAUAAUCGGGUGAAGGGUGUUGAUGACUUCUUAUCUGAAAUGCUUGGAAAUGAUGAUAUGCAGCACUUGCUUCGGCCUUUCAGCAUGGGAUGUCACGACAAUAUGAUUACUCGAUAUUCAAACCAGUCUCAGCUUAUGAAUUCCAGUUCCCACACCCAGUUUGAUACCACCUCUUUUACUCAGCCUGACCAGCAGGUUAACCUAUCAUAUGAUGAUAGGUUUGGGGUUGCCCUCGGUCCACCUCUGUCAUCAUCAUUCCAAGUGGGAAACUCGUCUAUUCAGCAAGCGAAUCUUAAUCCUUUUGAGGACUGGUCCCAUAAUCGGGUGGAG
rnacentral:lncRNA from 1 species